CCGAGAGUCAGUGAAUAAACCCGCGAAUCCAUAUUUUCUGAAAAAGCGCCUCUUUUCUCAAAACCCUUUUUCUCAAAAGCAGCUACAACCUCAAAAGCCCGCUUUCUCUCAAAACCCUCGACUGCACUAUCACAAUCGACCCGACCCGACCCGACCCGACCCGACCCGACCCGACCAACUAUCAGCAUAAUUUUAGAGUAAUGCCAACUUUUGCAACGGGGAAGUGCUUGAAAGGAAAUCAACUUGAACCAGACCCACAAUUGCAGAAAUCAUUUGAGUUGGGUUGUUCUUGGGAAACUGGUUGGACUUUAGUUUCAAUGAAUUAUCUGGAGGAGUGCCGAAAUCCAUUAGCACAUCUUUAACAUAUAUGUGCGUACUCUCCCCCCCUCUCUCCGGAUGGGCAUUGUGUUUCUGAGUGUGUAUGUGAAUUACUUACUAUAUAUGAUGCACAUAGAAAGUUCUCUCUAUUCCGUUUGAUAAUUAAAUUUUUUCUGGUAUCACGUAUAUUGGGAACUUUAUCCAAAUUAACAUAGCUUUUGGGAUGAUGCAGAGAUCUAGGUAGUAAUUGGUUUAGGGGCCAAAUCCCUCAUGAAUACGUUGCUCUCCAAUCCAUAAUUGGUCUGAAAGUCUUAUAUAUAUAUAUAUAUAUAUAUAUGUCUUUCUAAUAUUUUCUUUUGGUUAUUGUUCUUUGCAGAACAAUUCUGUUAUUCAGGUCUUGAGACUUUGUACGAUUAUGAGUAGAAAAUUACUAAACAUCCUUUUUAUCUCUUUUCUUCUUUCUAUUCUCGUUUUGAUUUGUUCUGUUUGAAAUUUAAUGUAGAGAGGUGAAUGAUAAUAAACUCUCAGGUCACAUCCCACACCAGCUUGGGAAACUCAUAAAGCUGCAGUAUCUGUAAGUAUAAAAGCUUGAUAUAUAUAGUUUCAAGAAUCUACAAUCUAGUCGGCUUCCACAUUGGUACGGUUCACUAUUUUGAUAAAAUACAUGUAUUUAACUCUUCAUGCACCAGUCUUUGAUACACAAUGAUAAGGGAAAAUGAACAAGCAACAAUAUUGAAGUGUCUUAUGAUCAUAUACUGAAAAUGUCAAUUGAUGUAUAUAUGUCCUUUCAGAUUAUUUUCUAUGUAGAGAAUUGUGCAUUACAAUGAAAAAUUAGACACGAACAACUACCAGUAGCAAUUUUCGUGAUGCAUGCAAAACAUGAGAUGAUUCUUUUUCUUCUUCAACUUAGACAAGCUAGUCAUGAUUGUUGCACAUCAUGACUACAUCAUAUGACAGAAAAAUUAUAAUAUUUGUGAUCUGAACAGUAUGGGCUAACUUUGCACCCAAGGAAUUAGUGAUCAAUGAAGUAGGUUAAGAACCAUAAAGUCUCAGGUUCAGAUCCCCGCGGAUACAAAAAAACCUAGGUGAUUCUUCCCAUUUGUUCUAGCCUUGGUGGAUAGAGGUACCUGUAGUUGGUGGGAGGUCACAGGUAUCUUGUGGAACUAGUCGAGGUGCGCAGAGGCGUUGGAAACAUUUUCCACAGCGAAUAUUGGUUUAUCUGAAGUUGCCCUGAUGUUACGCUUCUGAUGUCCAAUAUGGUCAUGCGAGGGAGUGUUAAAGUGUCCUACAUUAAUUAAGAGAUGGUAUACUUGUUUACUUGUAUGGUCUUGGACAAUCCUUAACUCAUUAGCUAAGCUAUUGGGGUUGAGUCAGGCCUACAGUCCAUUUUCCUUAACAGUAGUGUACUUUAUGUAUUCUAACAGAGAUUCGUUUGCUUGCUCUUAUUAGAAUGUCAAGUCUAGUAACUUAAUCAUAGCAACUUUAUCUUCCAAGGCAGAAGCUCCGCACCUAUUAACCGCAAGCGUCAUUGGUUACUGGAACAAAAACUGCUACAUUUUGUGGAUGCCUUCCACCAUUAUGUGAUGGACAGGGUACUCUCUCUCUCUCUCUCUGAUAGUAAUUUUCUGGUUUGUUUUCUGCCACACUUGGUGCAUGUGUUGGACUCAUGAAUCCGACCUUUUCAAUAAUGUUUAUAGGGCACUAAUUUGGGAAGAAAUUUGUUUUUAGGGCACUGAUAUUGAUGGAAAAUUAUCGAAACAUGGUGGUUUGAUUCUAGAAAGAAGAAAUUUAUAGUUUGCCCUAACAUUCUUAUAUGUUCUCACAAACAAUUACUAAUAUCACAAUGUUACUAGCAGAGUUUAUGGCCCUAUUCCACACAUUGGUGGCUCCAAGUCUAACGCGAGAAGAAGAGCUGAAAUGGUGGUUGAGACUGGACAUAAGCCUGGACAAGCAGAACUUUAUCUUGCUACUCAUAAGAAAUAAGAUGGAUCAUAUGUUAAUGAAGUGGCAAAAGAGAUUUGUGAAAAAAUUGAAGUCGCAGUAAGUUAAAGCACCAUGGACGAGUCUGAAGUUUCUUCAAAUGAUGCUGUUGGUAAGGUGCUAGGAAAAGAGCAUUCUGGAAGAGUGAGGUGCUUGGGAUUAGGAGCUGUUCCUAGCAGAUCCUUUAAACAAACAUGUCCUCAUUUUAGCGGUAUGAGUUCUUCAAGUAGUAACAGUUCAUGUCCAUCCAAUUGCCAAGAAAACUACACUUAAAUAUUAGAUGCUCAUAAGAAUAGCCAAGAGAACUACAAAGAACUGGUGAAUUCUCACAAUCUAAUGAUGAACGCUUUCAAGGCAUAUAUGAUAAUGAAAGAAGGCACGAUACCUGAAUAGUUUGCAGGAUUUUUCACUCCUACGCCAAGUGUGAUGUCUCUAGUGAACCUCUUUCAGAUUUGAAUGGAAGAUCCGGUGAUAGUUAUUCUAGUGAUAAUCAUUGAAAUUUGUAAUUGUAUUAGUAAUUAUGACAAUGUUAUCGAAUCGCUGUUGGAG